CUUACACACAGUGUUUUUUGUUAUUACAAGAACUUUUGCUUUGGUCUGGACUAGAAAUAGUUUGGGCCAGAGGUUUACUGAACUAAACUUCAAUAUUUAUAUUGAAUUGUUAUUUAUUUAAUUGUCAAUUUGUUGAUUAAAUUCAAAAAAUCUUCAAAACUUUCAACAACGGAUCUCUUGGUUCUCGCAUCGAUGAAGAACGCAGCGAAAUGCGAUAAGUAAUAUGAAUUGCAGAUUUUCGUGAAUCAUCGAAUCUUUGAACGCACAUUGCGCCCUCUGGUAUUCCAGAGGGCAUGCCUGUUUGAGCGUCAUUUCUCUCUCAAACCUUCGGGUUUGGUAUUGAGUGAUACUCUUAGUCGAACUAGGCGUUUGCUUGAAAUGUAUUGGCAUGAGUGGUACUGGAUAGUGCUAUAUGACUUUCAAUGUAUUAGGUUUAUCCAACUCGUUGAAUAGUUUAAUGGUAUAUUUCUCGGUAUUCUAGGCUCGGCCUUACAAUAUAACAAACAAGUUUGACCUCAAAUCAGGUAGGAUUACCCGCUGAACUUAAGCAUAUCAAUAAGCGGAGGAAAAGAAACCAACAGGGAUUGCCUUAGUAACGGCGAGUGAAGCGGCAAAAGCUCAAAUUUGAAAUCUGGCACCUUCGGUGUCCGAGUUG
rnacentral:rRNA from 1 species